AUUGAACGCUGGCGGCAGGCCUAACACAUGCAAGUCGGGCGACCGGCGGACGGGUGAGUAAUGUAUUGGGAGCUGCCUGAUGGAGGGGGAUAACUACUGGAACCGGUAGCUAAUACUGCAUACCAUCAGAUGAACCCAUAUGGGAUUAGCUUGUAGGUGAGGUAACGGCUCACCUAGGCGACGCUCCCUAGCUGGUCUGAGAGGAUGAUCAGCCACACGGGGACUGAGACACGGCCCAGACUCCUACGGGAGGCAGCAGUGGGGAAUAUUGCACAAUGGGCGCAAGCCUGAUGGAGCAAUGCCGCGUGUAUGAAGAAGGCCUUCGGGUUGUAAAGUACUUUCGGUCGGGAGGCGUUACCGACAGAGGAAGCACCGGCUAACUCCGUGCCAGCAGCCGCGGUAAUUC
rnacentral:rRNA from 1 species